rnacentral:rRNA from 1 species
AUUGAACGCUGGCGGCAGGCCUAACACAUGCAAGUCGAACGAGUGGCGGACGGGUGAGUAAUGUCUGGGAAACUGCCCGAUGGAGGGGGAUAACUACUGGAAACGGUAGCUAAUACCGCAUACCAUCGGAUGUGCCCAGGUGGGAUUAGCUAGUUGGUGGGGUAAAGGCUCACCUAGGCGACGAUCCCUAGCUGGUCUGAGAGGAUGACCAGCCAAACGGGAACUGAGACACGGUCCAGACUCCUACGGGAGGCAGCAGUGGGGAAUAUUGCACAAUGGGGGCAAGCCGGAUGCAGCCAUGCCGCGUGUAUGAAGAAGGCCUUCGGGUUGUAAAGUACUUUCAGCGAGGAGGCGUUACUCGCAGAAGAAGCACCGGCUAACUCCGUGCCAGCAGCCGCGGUAAUAC